AUAAGAGCUUUCUAUGGGACUUGGAAGAAGGUCAGUUUGCAUAUUGCAGUUGAAAUCGCCAUGCCUUCUGUUCUUCCCAGGCACACUUCUAGAUUACAUUUCUAAGCAUGCCUUGCAGUCGUAUGUGGCCAUGGCAUUGAGUUCAGCAAGGUGCAGAGGAUACAGCGGUACACACCAAGAUUUUGGAGCUGGUCAAGCCACAAGAUGGAAGGAGCCUGAGUACCUGAAGACCAUGUGGAAGGCAACCUUAAACCCAGGAACCUACUCUUUGGACUUACACAUGAACAAGAAAUCAACUUACGAAGCCAUCCAGAUUUUGGGGUGUUUUAAAAUUAAAAUCUUAUGAGGCCCUGGCUGCUUCUGGGAUGACACAGGAGUCUCCCUGGUGACUUCAGGACAGGCCAGAAAAGCUACAUGGGCAGACCUGAGGAAUGGCUUCUGAAACGUGCCCUACUGUGCUUCUAUUUUUUUAACAACUCUAUAUGUAGAUUUAAUGUUUCUUAAAAAAAACUAUUUUUGGGGGUGGGAAUGAACUAUUCAAUGUUAAUUCAAUUAAAAAAUUAAACAUGAGUUGUUAGUAAAAGUCUUCUGGAUAUUUAGGAAUAUUUUAAUUUUAACAAGAGAAAGAUGACAGUUUAGGUCUAGCCAAUUCUUGCGAUUAUCAUUUUGGAGGUAGUUUUGUGUCUAUCUUCUUGCCUUCCAUCUUUGCCUCUUUAUUCUUUCUGAAAAGAUAAAUCUUAACUUUUGAAAUGAAAAUAUAUUUUUACCUUCCUGGUUGUUAAAGUAAUAUAUGCUUAUUGUAGAUUCUUCUUCACAGGACUGAUUGAGCUGCGAUAGGGAUUCAUUGAGAAGGGAAGUGAGGGAAGAGGCUAGGAAAGAGGAAGAACGAAUAAGCAAGGAUGCAGCAUGUGUGUGUAUUCUUCUGUGUCUUCAGAGACAUUCUCAUGGGAAUGUGGAGGAUGCUGUCGCCAGACAGGAUUGUUAGUCAGAUGUCAUUGAAAAAUAUGUAGCUUACAUAGCUUUUAAAAUAAUUUUAACUUAUUAAAUCACAUAAAAGAAUGCAUUCUGGCAGGUGUGUAUAAAUGGCUAUAAAAUUGUCUUCUUUUGACAUGCCAUAAGCAGAUCUUCAGGGAACUUAACUCACCAUGGGAUAGUUGCAGUUAAAUUCCUUGGGCCUGGAUUCACUUGAAGUUUUUGUAGGACUGUAAUGAAAUGUUUUAGAAAUAUGGUCUAAAAGUCUAUGAUUAUAUGAUAAUGCCAAAAGGUGGGGAAUAGAUAGACUUUAUUUUGCUGUAACUUUACCCAGACCUCUACUUGACAGCAACUUACCUUGAGUCAUUUGCAGAUGGCCACCUGUCUUGGCUUGGGGGUCUUUAGUUUUUCACAGUUGCUGUGGACACGGCCAUGGCAGGUAGCCAGUAAGAAUUUACUGAAAGGUAAUCAAUACUGUGUGUAUAUGGUGACCAAACCAGGAAGUGUAAGCCUUUUGAAGGUGAUGGUUUGCCAGAACUAGAACCCUGUGAUUCCUGUGUGGGCAUGUGACAAAAUGUUUCCAGUUUGUGUGCCUUCCAUGAUUCUAUUCUUGCCAUUUACUUAGUCACACCACUAAGUUAACAUAACAUGGUUGUCAGGAGUGAGGCCACUGAAAAUAGUUAUAACUAUGUAUUAGUUUACUUGGGCUGCUGUAACAAAGUACCACAAACUCAGUGGCUUUAGCAAUGGAAAUUUAUCAUCUCACAGUUUUGGAGGCUAGAAGUUCAAGAGGAAGUUGUUGGCAGAGCCAUGCUCCCUCUGAAGGCACUAGGCAAGGAUCUGUUCCAGGCCUCUCUACUAGCUUCUGGUAGUUCCUUGGCUUGUGGCAGCAUAGCUCUAGUCUUUACAUAGUGUUCUUCCUGUUUGUUUGCCUGUGUCCAAAUUCCUCUUUUUAUAAGGACACCAGUCAUAUUGGAUUAGGGGCCCCACCCUUACCCCAAUAUGACCUCAUCUUAACAAGUUACUUAUUUCCAAAUAAGGUUACAUUUUCUAGUACUUGGGGUUAGGAUGUAAACAUAUGAAUUUCGGGGAAAACACAAUUCAACUCAUAAUAGACUCACUUUAUAUUCGAACCAGUGGUUCUCAAUAUUGGUUGUACAUUAGAACCUAUUGGGGAGCUUUAAAAAUCCUGAUGCCCAGAUUGCACCCCAGACUAAAGACAUCAGAAUAUGUGUGAGAUCCUGGCAUUAGCACUUUUUAAAUCUUGCCAGGUGAUUCCAAUAUGUAGCCAGGAUGAAGAACCAUUCUAUUUGGGUGUCCCUCACUAAGAACAGAAAUUCACCCAAUUCUACAGAUAAUAUGUUAAGAAAAUGAAAUUCCAGUAACAUAUUCAAAUUUUUCUCCUUGUUGUUGUAGCAGUAAGAUUAAUUUUAGAAUCAGGACAAAAUUUUUGGGAAAAGGAUUACAGGUGAUUUUUUUCCUUUUCAAUUUUUUCUUGUACCUAUUUAGAAAUUUUUCUACAAUUAACAUGGAAUUCUUGUACAAAAACCCAAUCAAUAAACUUUUUUAAAAAUUAAAAAACAUAUCCCUUUUUCUUAUUAUCAACUAUCAUGGACUAGUAUGCAGAAAAAAAUAGAAAAGCAUUUCCUCUGGAUUUAGUAUCAAAAAGAGGCUUUGAUAAAUUCUUGGCUCUACUAUCUAAUUACUAAUAAGUCAAAGAACUACAGGAGACUCUUUUUAAAACAAAAUGAUUAUUUAUGGUAGCAGUUCACCAAUAUUUAACUGAUAUAUAGGUAACCAAACUAUGUUGCAAAUCAACUCACUCAGAUACCUGGGCAUACAUUUCAAAACCAAUUUAUCUUGAAGGUUGUUGUAGGAAAUGAUAUUGCUCAAUCUUAAACAUUCUUGGGCUCUCCAUCUUAAAUGGUUUAGAUUUUUUUUUAAAGCCAAGGUAGGGUUUGGUUACAUGCUUUAAACUUUUUCAGGAUUAAUUUAUUGUGGUCUAGAAUUUGGAGCCUUUUUGUCUACUCUCCAUGAGUUAGUGGUGAUCCAAUAUUAUUUCUCAAGAAGAAUGUUGACCCUGUCCAUGGGUGGUCCCUUGACCUUCUCUUUACACUCCUCAACUUUCAUAAAAGGCUAUGAAUCACUACGAUCCACUCGGCUGAUUGUUAAAACAUAUUGUUCUACGUUCAACUGGUAACAUAGGAUACACUGAUACCAAGAACUCAUCUGGAAGAAGAAGCUCAAGCUUGUUGUCAUUUAAUGCUUGUCUAAAGCUUGGUUGGGAUUCUGGAAAUUCAUCCUUUAGAUAUAAUUGCACACAUGUGGAAUGGCAUAUGUUCAAGCUUAUGCAUUGUAGCAUUUCUUUUGUAAUAUAAAAGAUUGGAAACUAAUUUACCUUUUUUCUUUUACUGAUUGUACUUUCAGUGUUGUAUCUAAGAAAUCUGCCUAACAUAAUGUCACAAAGAUCUUCUUCUGUGUUUUUUCCCAGAGGUUUUAGAAUUUUAGGUUUUAUAUUUAGGUCUAUGAUUUGUUUUGAGUUAGUAUUUGUAUAUGGGGCAUAUAAUGGACUGUUCACUGCUUUUGCAUAUAAAUAUACAAUUGUUCCAGGAAAAGAAUAGCCUUUGCACCUUUGUCAAAUCAGUUGUCCAUAUAUAUAUGUGGGUCUAUUUCUGGACUCUAUUUUGUUCCAUUAAUCUAUUUAUUUAUCUUGACACUAAUACCACACUGUUUGGAUUACUGUGGCUUUAUAACGUCUUGGGCUUCAUUAGAAUUAAAAACUUCUUCUCUUUGAAAGACACUAUUAGAGAAUGAAAAUUCAAGCCUCAGGAUGGGAAAAAUAUUUGCAAAUCAUAUAUCUAAUAAGGGACUUGUAUCCAGAACAUACAAAGAACUCAAACUCAAAAAUAAGACAACUCAACAAAAACGAGCAAAAAAUUUGAACAGACACUUACUUCACCAAGAAGUAAAUGGAUGGAAAAUAAGCACAUGAGAAGAUGCUCAAAGUCAUCACUCUUUAGGGAAAUACAAACUAAAACUACCAUGAGACACCACCAUACCCCGAAUAGAAUGGCUAAAAUUAAAAGGACUGACCAUACCAAGUGUCGACAAGGAUGUAGUGGU
rnacentral:lncRNA from 1 species